rnacentral:rRNA from 1 species
GUGGGGAAUCUUAGACAAUGGGGGAAACCCUGAUCUAGCCAUGCCGCGUGAUCGAUGAAGGCCUUAGGGUUGUAAAGAUCUUUCAGCUGGGAAGAUAAUGACGGUACCAGCAGAAGAAGCCCCGGCUAACUCCGUGCCAGCAGCCGCGGUAAUACGGAGGGGGCUAGCGUUGUUCGGAAUUACUGGGCGUAAAGCGCACGUAGGCGGAUUGGAAAGUUGGGGGUGAAAUCCCGGGGCUCAACCCCGGAACUGCCUUCAAAACUCCCAGUCUUGAGGUCGAGAGAGGUGAGUGGAAUUCCGAGUGUAGAGGUGAAAUUCGUAGAUAUUCGGAGGAACACCAGUGGCGAAGGCGGCUCACUGGCUCGAUACUGACGCUGAGGUGCGAAAGCGUGGGGAGCAAACAGGAUUAGAAACCCCUGUAGUCC